rnacentral:rRNA from 1 species
CCUACGGGAGGCAGCAGUAGGGAAUCUUCCACAAUGGGCGAAAGCCUGAUGGAGCAACGCCGCGUGGGUGAAGAAGGUCUUCGGAUCGUAAAACACUGUUGUUAGAGAAGAAAGUGCGUGAGAGUAUCUGUUCACGUUUCGACGGUAUCUAACCAGAAAGCAACGGCUAACUCCGUGCCAGCAGCCGCGGUAAUACGUAGGUGGCAAGCGUUAUUCGGAUUUAUUGGGCGUAAAGGGAACGCAGGCGGUCUUUUAAGUCUGAUGUGAAAUCCUUCGGCUUAACCGGGGUAGUGCAUUGGAUACUGGGAGGCGUGAGUGCAGAAGAGGGGAGUGGAACUCCAGGUGUAGCGGUGAAAUGCGUAGAGAUAUGGAAGAACACCAGUGGCGAAGGCGGCUCUCUGGAC